GGCCCCGUAGUUCAAUGGAUAGAACGGCCCUCUCCUAAAGGGCAGAUAUGGGUUCGAUUCCCGUCGGGGCUG
rnacentral:tRNA from 2 species